rnacentral:rRNA from 1 species
GAUCUGGUCAGGAUGAACGCUAGCGGCAGGCUUAACACAUGCAAGUCGAGGGGCAGCGGGGUGUAGCAAUACACUGCCGGCGACCGGCGCACGGGUGCGUAACGCGUAUGCAACCUACCCAUAACAGGGGCAUAACACUGAGAAAUUGGUACUAAUUCCCCAUAACAUUCGAAGAGGCAUCUCUUUGGGUUGAAAACUCCGGUGGUUAUGGAUGGGCAUGCGUUGUAUUAGCUAGUUGGUG